UACGUAGGGUGCGAGCGUUAAUCGGAAUUACUGGGCGUAAAGCGUGCGCAGGCGGCUUUGCAAGACAGAGGUGAAAUCCCCGGGCUCAACCUGGGAACUGCCUUUGUGACUGCAAGGCUAGAGUACGGCAGAGGGAGAUGGAAUUCCGCGUGUAGCAGUGAAAUGCGUAGAUAUGCGGAGGAACACCGAUGGCGAAGGCAAUCUCCUGGGCCUGUACUGACGCUCAUGCACGAAAGCGUGGGGAGCAAAC
rnacentral:rRNA from 1 species